UCCACGGUGCCUGACAGCUCCCGACGCUGUCAGCACCAGCUAAGUUCCGCUGAUCUCACCUGCUCGCUGCUACCGUUUCCGCCGGACACCGCCAGGACCUGCCUGCGAUCUGCAUGACUCCACGCUCAUUUUCCUUGCUCUGCAACCACACAGCGUUCUGCACUACGGCAGCAACACUUUGAUGAUGAGUCAUAUGUAAGUUCAAUGCUUUAUUUUCUAUUAACUAGUUUACGUAAUGCUCACUUGCUGCGACAAAUAUUACCAUUAUUACAGUAUGGCAUCAAAGCGUGCUACACCUGCACCAUGCAAAAUGGUUGUUGAAUUUAGACGAUAGAUAUGAUUAAUGAGAUAGAUGGAGAUAAGACACAGGUUUCUAGAUAAAGAGGCUGUGUCAGACACUGAAUAUAGUUAUACUGAUUUAUGAUUAUGAUAAUGGAGCCAUUGACGCUCGUUUGUACACUAUGGAGCGAUGAGAGCUCGCUUGUACACUAUGGAGCCAUGAGAGCUCGCUUGUACACUAUAGAGCCAUGAGAGCUCGCUUGUACACUAUGGAGCCAUGAAAGCUCGUUUGUACACUAUGGAGCCAUGAGAGCUCGCUUGUACACUAUGGAGCCAUGAGAGCUCGUUUGUAAACGAUAUUAAACACACACCCUACAAAGAGUCUGAACAUAGUCUUUUAUCUCUUGUAUCCCUUGUAUCUUUUCUACACUAAGAGAAUCCCCUGAUGAGAUGCCUAUGCCAUAUGAUAAUUGUGCCCACAUCUGCUAACCUAACCAUGCCGAGACCUCGGUAGUAUUGGCGCAUUACGAAGAGCAUUAUGUAAUCUACUGGAUAGCGUUGAAUUCUGAUGACAAUAGUAUUUACUAGUUAAAAUAUGGAUUCUGAUUUUAUUCACUGUUUCUCGAGUAACGCUUCAUGAUAUUUUGUAUGAUUGCUGUUAUAUGAUGCACGAAUGUUUUCUUUUUAAAUUACGCGUUAGUUGCGCUUAUAGCGUAGCAUUAUAGUUCAACUGUUCUCGAUUAGUAUUAGUAUAACGAUUAAGUUUUUUUGUGUAAUGGUGAAAUUUCAAUGCCGCAGCGGUAUCAAGAUUUAUCUAUUUAAUAUAUGUUUCUAUACGUUGCUAUCCAUAGAACUAUUGAAAGUGCGAGGGUAGUGUAGUGACGUAGAUAUCGAAUAAAUUAACCUCGUAUAAAAACCCAGCGACAUGGGUUGUUUAACUUAAAAGCAACAUCACGUCAUAGUUAUUUUUAGUUCAAGGUAACAUGAGCAGCGAGCGACACGGGUCGCUUAACGUAGCAUAACGUCAUGGUUAUUUUAGUUGACAAAUGUCAGUCAAGGUAACAGGUGAAAGUUGCACCACGAACAUCCCAAGAAACUGAGUCACUAGAACCCGAGUAAAAAUUACGACCCGCUCAAGGUGACGACUGCUACGAGUCUUAUGACAAGCCGCGCACGCCGGGCGUGCGUGACACAGCGGGACCUCUAACACCGGUGUCGCACAACCCAACCAGGGUCAAAUCUGUGCCAUACCUACAGCAUUGGCGAGCCGAACACGUUGCGUGCACGUGGCAGCAGCGGUAUGGCACAAAGCGUGCCGAUGACACUUUAUAGUACCAAUAGAAGGCUGUUCGACGAGGGCUUCGAGAAACUCCCAUCGACUCCUCCACCAUAUCUACAAAGACUCUGACCGCCGUUCUCACGCUAGAGAAGGAAGUCUCACCUUCAGUUGUCCAUAAAAUUCUGUAGAAGGACACGUCUUGCACCACCAUCGUCAACAAGGCCUUGACCACGCUCAGGCCAUGCAUUCCUCCAGUUGUAUAAAUACCAAACAGUUUCGACGAGAAGACAGUCACAGUUCCACGGUGCUGACAGUUCACGUCGCUGCUAGCACCUACUGAGCUCACCUGCCGAUCGCUGCUACCGUUGCCGCCGCCAACUGACAAGAGGACCCGCCUGCGAAGUCGUAAGAUAUGAAACACUUGUAACGCGUCAUUGAUUGUUGGCUUGCGUGGCCACAUAUGUACUGUAUGUGUUUAGAAUGAUGUUGUUCAUUAAAGAAUAGAGUUACCGUAGUAAUUACGUGGUUAUAGCAUUAAUUAUACUGUCUGUGGCUUAAGUGCUAUUUGCACACGUAUCUGUUGUACACGAACCUGGUCAGACUAUAAGAUCACACGUGCCUGUUACACGAGCUACACUAUAUAUUAAGUUAAACGUGUAAUCACCUAACGAGGUAACGUAAACGUGACAUGAGUAAAUAUAUAUAUAUAUAUCUCUACGCUAUAUUUGAGAUGCGUGCAGUGAACGUUUAUUCAUGUUAUUCGUAAACAAUGAAUAAAACCAUCCGUUGUAUAAAGACUA